rnacentral:sRNA from 1 species
CUUGAAAUAGUUUCAGAACGUGCCGUGCUACUUUUUGGCCUGCAACAAAGUGCAUUUUGGCGAAAUGUUGAAAAAUUAUUUAAUUUUCAUGUGUCUUGUGUUUCAUUUUACAAGAGUGUGUCAUGGAAGUGUUGUACCGCCAUCAAAUAGUUUAGAGAAAGCAGGGAGCAGUAAAUCCAUCGUAAUUGCAAUGUAACCAUUACACAUUAUGGACAACCAAAACCGAAUCCAGCAGCAAAUAUAACUACAGGAAUGGAUAACACAAAUACAGCAAAUAUAACUACAGGAAUGGAUACAACAAAUACAACAAUGACUAAAUAAUCAGAUGCUAAAACAUCCAAAACCGCAUAACCAGCUAAUAAAAUACACAACAUAAAUACAGAAAUACCAGAACCUAAAACACCCAUCGACCCCAUAGCUAAUGAAGAAAAACCUAAUGAAGCCAAUGUAAAAGACAUCAACGUUGCAAAGGAAACGUUAGCAGAUGA